CACAAAUUCCCCUCCUCCCAGCUCCCCACCCCCAGAGAAAUAAACGAGUAAGCCAAUCACUAGGAAGAGUGUAGGUGUUUACAAAACAACCUUGUGCAUAUUAGCGAAGGUCUGGGAUGGGCAGGCGACGCGGUCUACGUUCCUUAAAAUCCAGGGUGAACUUCAAUGUCUACUUUCCUGCCAUUGGGUUUUGUGGGAACCAACAGCCCUGGAGAGAUCAGAAGCUUCUGUGGUGACUGCCCUUUGGGAAGUGUGGGCCUCUCCGAGGUGGGCCUGUAAUGAUGCAGCCACAGAGAGAGCAGGUCUCUGGCAGAGAGCAGGAGGCCACCUUGCAAGGAGAGGCAGCAACAGGCGGCCACCAGGGCGAUUGCGGAGCACCCGGGUCUCUGGCUCCGGGAGGCUGAGCUCCCACGGCUCUUCCUUUGACUCCGAGCUUCUCCAGGAGCUUCCCAGGUGAACGAAUCAAUAAACUCCUUUGUUGCUUUGGCCAGCUUGGCUUGGCUGUCUGUUCCUUGCAGCAGAGAGAAUUAUGAUGAAUAUGCUUGGUUGGGUUCCUUCUCACCUAACUGGUCUGGUGACAGUAACAAAGAAGAGUUGUCUAGAGUUUCUCUGAUGGGAAAGUAUUUUCGUCCCAUUAUUUUACUUUACUCUUUUAACAGAAGGGGG
rnacentral:lncRNA from 9 species